GAUGAACGCUGGCGGCGUGCCUAAUACAUGCAAGUCGAGCGAACAGACGAGGAGCUUGCUCCUCUGACGUUAGCGGCGGACGGGUGAGUAACACGUGGAUAACCUACCUAUAAGACUGGGAUAACUUCGGGAAACCGGAGCUAAUACCGGAUAAUAUAUUGAACCGCAUGGUUCAAUAGUGAAAGACGGUUUUGCUGUCACUUAUAGAUGGAUCCGCGCCGCAUUAGCUAGUUGGUAAGGUAACGGCUUACCAAGGCGACGAUGCGUAGCCGACCUGAGAGGGGGAUAGGCCACACUGGAACUGAGACACGGACCAGGCUCCUACGGGAGGCAGCAGUAUGGAAUCUGCCGCAAUGGGCGAAAGCCUGACGGAGCAACGCCGCGUGAGUGAUGAAGGUCUUCGGAUCGGAAAACUCUGUUAUUAGGGAAGAACAAAUGUGUAAGUAACUAUGCACGUCUUGACGGUACCUAAUCAGAAAGCCACGGCUAACUACGUG
rnacentral:rRNA from 1 species